CCUCCGGGGCCUUUGAUAUCUCAGGUUAGCUCAAAAUGUUAUGUUUCUUCUUGGGUUAUAAUAUAUUAAUAUUUGCUGAUUCUUCACUAGACUCCUUUGUUCUUGCAGGGUGUGUGUCAUGUUAUGUUGGGUUUCCUGUGAUUUCGGUGCGGGUAGCUACAUAGCGUCCGUGGGCCAUGCGUGUGACAUGCAUGCUAGGUAAUCUUGACUCCGGUGCAACGGUGCUGGAACCGCCUCUGCUGGUUACGACCGCCGUGGCUAUGCUUGAAGGCAGAAUCACCACGAUGACUGUAGUGGCCGCACUCAGAUCAGAACGGCAGCCAAGGUAUAUGAUCAAGCCUUUACUGUCGUCCUUUGAAUUUGGGAUCACGUGCAUCUGCAAGAGAAAGAGCAUGAGAGCCUAAGAGGGUAGUACCACAUUACGAACAAGUUGUUUUUUAUCCAUGGAAUUGAUCUGAUGCGAAGCUGAUGCCACAUAAAAGGUUAACUGAGUUCUUAUCUCCAAUAUGUCGUGAUGUUACAGUUCAAUUAUUUUCACCUCUCUAGCCACUAUGCACGGAAGGUGUUUGCUAAUUUGCACAAUGAUAUUUUCUGGUAAAAUACAUUAAUAUUACCUACAUUUUUUCACGUUUUAGUGAUGUCCUCUUAUUAAUCCCUUCUAUAAUCAAAUCUGAUAUGUAUUUGUUCAUCUAGGCAUCUAGCUGCAGGUGGAAUAACAAGAUUCAGUGUGUGCAACAACAACAAUAAAUAACAUGUCAUUAGGGAGACUUCUGACAAUUGAACCCUGCAUUUUUUUGGCAUUAGUACAACUGUUCUACUGCAUUAUUCAACUAUGCACGAUGAAGCUGAUAUAGGGUGUGGACUAGACAAUUUAUUCAGUUUUCUUCAAGAAGGUAUGCAGAUUGGGCAUCAAAGUAGACGACAAAGGAUGACAUUCUGCACCUUACAACUUAAAAUUUGAAAGAUACUUUCUAUUUUAUAUUGAUGUGAUCGCCAGCGAGAACAAAUUUUUGACUGAAUUUGUUUCAUUAAAGUGAAGUUGUUUGGACUUUUCUUUGAAUGUUUCUUUUAGUUGCGUAAAAAGGCAUUGUGGGUAAUGUUUUUUUGAGCUGAUUAUGAGUAGUGUUUGGUUCGAUGCAGGACCAAGGAAUGAACACGAAGCAAAUUAUAACUCUCAGGUUCAUGGUUUAGGAGCAGGAAAGAACACUUCCAAUUGUGUAGAUGGGUCAUCCGUAGCAUUUCUCUAAUUAUCCUUAUAGAGACUGAUUUGGAUUGUUGAAGGAAAGGAUCUCAAUUCUCAAUAGCAAACUGCACUGGGACAUCUUGGACCUAUUCU
rnacentral:lncRNA from 1 species